GACGAACGCUGGCGGCGUGCCUAAUACAUGCAAGUAGAACGCUGAAGAGAGGAGCUUGCUCUUCUUGGAUGAGUUGCGAACGGGUGAGUAACGCGUAGGUAACCUGCCUUGUAGCGGGGGAUAACUAUUGGAAACGAUAGCUAAUACCGCAUAACAAUGAGUGACACAUGUCAUUUAUUUGAAAGGGGCAAUUGCUCCACUACAAGAUGGACCUGCGUUGUAUUAGCUAGUAGGUGAGGUAACGGCUCACCUAGGCGACGAUACAUAGCCGACCUGAGAGGGUGAUCGGCCACACUGGGACUGAGACACGGCCCAGACUCCUACGGGAGGCAGCAGUAGGGAAUCUUCGGCAAUGGGGGCAACCCUGACCGAGCAACGCCGCGUGAGUGAAGAAGGUUUUCGGAUCGUAAAACUCUGUUGUAAGUCAAGAACGAGUGUGAGAGUGGAAAGUUCACACUGUGACGGUAGCUUACCAGAAAGGGACGGCUAACUACGUGCCAGCAGCCGCGGUAAUACGUAGGUCCCGAGCGUUGUCCGGAUUUAUUGGGCGUAAAGCGAGCGCAGGCGGUUUGAUAAGUCUGAAGUUAAAGGCUGUGGCUCAACCAUAGUUCGCUUUGGAAACUGUCAAACUUGAGUGCAGAAGGGGAGAGUGGAAUUCCAUGUGUAGCGGUGAAAUGCGUAGAUAUAUGGAGGAACACCGGUGGCGAAAGCGGCUCUCUGGUCUGUAACUGACGCUGAGGCUCGAAAGCGUGGGGAGCGAACAGG
rnacentral:rRNA from 1 species